AACUAAUUGGAUGUGAAUUGGGAGGUGGUCGCUGCCUAUAAAGGGUCCUCGUUUCAAUUCUGCUGUGGCGGCUAGGUGAGGGGACAUUAUUGCGAGGUCUAUUGUGGUGAAUUUUAGUGUGCUGGGGCAUUGUCUUGUGCCAAGGUUGGGUGGAGUGGCUAACAUAAUAUUGUUUUCUUUUUCUAGGAGGUUGGCUAAUAUUCUUCCGCUGCGGUUGGGAUGGGUGCUUCUUGUGUCCCAUAGGCCAUGUCUUGCGUUGUAGUCGCCGCAGAAUAUGGUGUUGUUGCUGGUCAAUCUAUGCAAUUGGGUCAAUUCAUCCUCGUCGCACGCCUGGCCAUUUGGUCUGGCAGCUGAAGUUGUUUGAACUGGAGGGAUUAGUGAAUUAAUAUUGCCACGCCUCCUCCUACCUGGCCAACGCGAUUUUUAUUUACUGCAUAGUAUUGUUUGAAUUUUACGCUGAAUGAAUCUCUCCAGAACGUUUCGCAUAGUGUGACUAUGUGGGGUUUGUGAAGGUGCAAAUGUGCUUUGAAUUCUAUUAAAUUAGACUUUGUGAGA